rnacentral:rRNA from 1 species
UACAGAGGGUGCAAGCGUUAAUCGGAGUUACUGGGCGUAAAGGGCGUGUAGGCUGUUAUUUAAGUCGGUUGUGAAAUCCCUGGGCUUAACCUAGGAAUUGCAGUCGAUACUGAAUAUCUAGAGUAUGGUAGAGGAAAGUGGAAUUCUCGGUGUAGUGGUUAAAUACGUAGAUAUCGAGAAGAACACCGGUGGCGAAGGCGGCUUUCUGGACCAAUACUGACGCUGAGGCGCGAAAGCGUGGGGAGCAAACAGG